rnacentral:misc_RNA from 1 species
AAGUCGUAACAAGGUUUCCGUAGGUGAACCUGCGGAAGGAUCAUUAACACGUAUCCAACGUUAAACAACCCUGUGAACUUUAAGUCCCCUCUUGCAGCCCAUGAGGAACAGCAAUCCCGGUAAAUCAUUGCCAAACAGUUUUGAUUCGGGACCUCUGUCCAAAAGGAGUUGCAAUCGAAGGGUGGAAGCAGUGGCAUGGCUUCCCCAAGCAGUUAGUGAAUGACAGUGUCACUGACUGUGUAAGGAUAGUCACAGGGUCACCACGCCCCUUAAUCACUCCACUUGAAAAUGCCCCGCCUAGUGGUAACGCGCUAGGUAAAAAAAACCGAACAACUGUUAACAAUGGAUAUCUUGGUUCUC